rnacentral:rRNA from 1 species
GACGAACGCUGGCGGCGUGCUUAACACAUGCAAGUCGAACGGAAAGGCCCUGCUUGCAGGGUACUCGAGUGGCGAACGGGUGAGUAACACGUGGGUGAUCUGCCCUGCACUUCGGGAUAAGCCUGGGAAACUGGGUCUAAUACCGGAUAGGAGCCAUUUUUAGUGUGAUGGUUGGAAAGUUUUUUCGGUGUAGGAUGAGCUCGCGGCCUAUCAGCUUGUUGGUGGGGUAAUGGCCUACCAAGGCGGCGACGGGCAGCCGGCCUGAGGGGGUGGACGGCCACAUUGGGACUGGGGUACGGCCCAGACUCCUACGGGGGGCAGCAGUGGGGAAAAUUGCACAAUGGGCGCGAGCCUGAUGCAGCGACGCCGCGUGGGGGAUGACGGCCUUCGGGUUGGAAACUCCUUUCGCUAGGGACGAAGCUUUUUGUGACGGUACCUAGAUAAGAAGCACCGGCUAACUACGUG